rnacentral:rRNA from 1 species
UACGUAGGGUGCAAGCGUUGUCCGGAAUUAUUGGGCGUAAAGAGCUCGUAGGCGGUUUGUCGCGUCGGCUGUGAAAACUCGGGGCUCAACCCCGAGCCUGCAGUCGAUACGGGCAAACUAGAGUGCUGUAGGGGAGACUGGAAUUCCUGGUGUAGCGGUGAAAUGCGCAGAUAUCAGGAGGAACACCGGUGGCGAAGGCGGCGACCUGGGUAGAUACUGACGCUGAGGCGCGAAAGCGUGGGGAGCAAACAGG